rnacentral:rRNA from 1 species
GUACGGGAGGCAGCAGUUGGGAAUUUUGCACAAUGGGCGAAAGCCUGAUGCAGCAACACUGCGUGAAGGAUGAAGGUUUUCGGAUCGUAAACUUCUUUUAUCUGGGAAUAAUCUUGAAGGUACCAGAUGAAUAAGCACCGGCUAACUACGUGCCAGCAGCCGCGGUAAUACGUAGGGUGCGAACAUUAUCCGGAUUUAUUGGGCGUAAAGAGCUCGUAGGUGGUUUGGAAAGUCGGGCAUGAAAGCCCUCGGCUUAACCGAGGAAUUGUACCCGAAACUUCCUGACUAGAGGUAUGCAGGGGCAGAUGGAACUUACGGUGUAGCAGUGAUAUGCGUAGAUAUCGUAAGGAACGCCGAUGGUGAAGACAAUCUGCUGGGCAUUACCUGACACUGAGGAGCGAAAGCGUGGGGAGCGAACGGGAUUAGAUACCCCAGUAGUCAC